CAGUCGCCGCGGUAAUACGGAGGGUGCAAGCGUUAAUCGGAAUUACUGGGCGUAAAGCGCACGCAGGCGGUCUGUCAAGUCAGAUGUGAAAUCCCCGGGCUUAACCUGGGAACUGCAUUUGAAACUGGCAGGCUAGAGUCUUGUAGAGGGGGGUAGAAUUCCAGGUGUAGCGGUGAAAUGCGUAGAGAUCUGGAGGAAUACCGGUGGCGAAGGCAGCCAUCUGGCCUAACACUGACGCUGAGGUACGAAAGCAUGGGGAGCAAACAGGAUUAGAUACCCCUGUAGUCCCUGUCUCUUAUAC
rnacentral:rRNA from 1 species